rnacentral:RNase_P_RNA from 1 species
GAAGUCCACCAGACCGCCGCUGGUGCUGGCGCCGAAAGGCCGCACUGGAGGAACGUCCGGACUGCAUAGGGCAGCGUAGCAGCUAACGGCUGUCCACCGCGAGGUGAGGAUCAGAGCAACAGAGACGAGCCGCUUGAGUGCGGGUGAAACGGGCAAUCUCUACGCGCAGCAAUACCAAGUAGGCACACGUUGACGGGGCCCCCGGAGUGUGCGGGUAGGUAGCAUCGAGCUGGUUGGGCGACCACCAGCCAAGAGUAAUGGCGGUCACGCCGCCGAUUCUCGCAAGGGAAUCGGCGGUGCACAGAAUCCGGCUUAUCGGUGGGCUUCACAC